GAUGAACGCUGACAGCAUGCUUAACACAUGCAAGUCUUUGGCGAAGCUGUGCUUGCACAGCCUAGCCAAGGCGGACGGGUGAGUAACGCGUAAGGAACUUGCCCUGCAGUCAGGGAUAACAGACGGAAACGACUGAUAAGACCUGGUAAAGUCAGGCGGACUCAUGUCCAGCCUGAUGAAAAGAGAUGCUGCAGGAGAGCCUUGCGUCCUAUUAGCUUGUUGGUGGGGUAACGGCCCACCAAGGCGAUGAUAGGUAGCCGGCCUGAGAGGGUGGACGGCCACAAGGGGACUGAGAUACGGCCCUUACUCCUACGGGAGGCAGCAGUGGGGAAUAUGGGACAAUGGGGGCAACCCUGAUCCAGCAAUUCUGUGUGCACGAUGAAGGUUUUCGGAUUGUAAAGUGCUUUCAGCAGGGAAGAAAAAAUGACGGUACCUGCAGAAGAAGCGACGGCUAAAUACGUG
rnacentral:rRNA from 1 species